CCGGAAAUGUGGGAGGGAUGUGGGAGGAAGUUGUGCCAGACCGGUAUCUUUGCUAGAUGGCAGCUGUCGAGCUAGCGCUUGAAGAGAGAGUCUCCCUCCUAAGGGAAAAAAACUAUUUCUCACGGCCGGUGACAGCGAAGCGGAUAACAGUCUUGAGUACCCACUGGUCUUUGACGCUCUGGAUUCUGGGACUGUUGGAAAAGCUCCAACAAAAUGAGGAAGAGGAGGGGGAGGAAAAACAAUUAGAUUGAAUUACAAAUGGAUGGAAGUUGAGGACAAGGAGAAGGAAGCUUAGGAUGAGGAGGCAGAGAAGCAGCAGGAGCAUCUUUAGUGAUAUCUAUGAUGUCAUUGAGUUCCAUCAGAUUCACCCCCUGUUGUGCUACUCUUCAGCGCUGGUCCUGUUCAGUUCAACUACUACAGUCAACUACAAAUGGAAGGUUUCAUACUCACUGCGCUCACUUGCCUCCCCUCCUGCCUGUCGUGACUCUCUUGGAUUUGCUGUCUGGACUUCCUAGAACUGGACCAUCUCCUCUCACCAUGCUGACCCCCUACAAGACACUCCCACGGCCACGCCCUCCAAGGCUAAUUGGUCUUCAUCCACAAGUAAGCACACCCCACUGCAAUACCUACUCACUUCUAGCCAUUCUCUCGUCUUCCUGCUUGUCUUCCUCUGUUACAGAGUUUCCCGUUCCAUCGCUCUCCUUGUGUCCCCCAUGUUCGAACGUUUCUCCAUCCUUGACCUUCCUUGGCUCCGGGUCUCCUGUUUAUGUUUUCAGUUUCAAGCCAUCCCAUAUGGAAAAGAAAUAGUAAAA